rnacentral:rRNA from 1 species
CCCUUAGAUGUUCUGGGCCGCACGCGCGCUACACUGAUGCAUUCAACGAGUUUCUUCCUGGUCCGAGAGGAAUGGGUAACCUUUUGAAAGUGCAUCGUGAUAGGGAUAGACUAUUGCAAUUAUUGGUCUUCAACGAGGAAUUCCUAGUAGACGUAGUUCAUCAGACUGCAUCGAUUACGUCCUUGCCCUUUGUACACACCGCCCGUCGCUCCUACCGAUUGAAUGCUCAGGUGAGCCAUUCGGACUUUCAUCAUGCUGGUUUCCAGUUUUGAUGAAGGAAAGUCUUGCGAACCUUAUCAUUUAGAGGAAGGAGAAGUCGUAACA